rnacentral:rRNA from 2 species
GAUGAAGGCCUUCGGGUUGUAAAGCUCUUUCUUUGGGGACGAUAAUGACCGUACCNGAAGNGCAAGGAGGAAGCCACGGCUAACUACGUGCCAGCAGCCGCUAUAAUA